AUCAAUAUUGAUGAACAUAGAACAUUAGACCUGUACCACUGGCAUCCUGUAUCUUCGCCAGAACAGACCAGAUACCUCACAAGACAGAAAGUGUAUGUCUAGCAAAGCAUUCUAUGGUUGAAGCUCUAAUAUCAGGUUGUAAGUGUUUUGGUACAGACACUGAAGAGAGAAGGCGGCUAAAAAAACUGCAAUUCAGGUGUGAGUUGUUACAGUUUGAAGAAAAUGUGAUUGAAAAGUGAUUGUAUUUUGUUCUGUAGGGAUGAAAAUCUGAUCCGAUACUUUGUUGUGGAAAGGGUAAAAUUCAUGUGGAACUCUGAAGAAGACAAAGACCAGAAACUUAGAGGGUUAGAAGUUAACAAUACAUGUUCAUAUUUCCAUGAGGUGAAAGGUUUGAGCUGCGAACACCAAAGCAAAAGUGAAAUGUAUGAAGUUCAGUUGUAAUGGUAAUGAGAUGCAGGUCUUUGUCCUACAUGGUGAGGGAAACAGUGUAUGGCAUUUUUGGAAAACAUGUAAUAGGAUGAAAAUUACAAAAAAUGACUGGAGAUCUUUGCUUAGUUCUAGCUCUCUGAGUGAUUUGAUGUUAAUCCACUCAGAGACUGAGUCUGUUGAGAAGUUUGAUCCAUUGGAUUCAAUAUUAUUAUGGAAUUCCAG